UUUCCGUAGGCAAGUAUUCCCACAUGCCUCUCUUUUCGCUUUUGCUAACCAUCUAAUAGGUGAACCUGCGGAAGGAUCAUUACCGAGUUCUCCUGCUUGCAGGAACUCCCACCCUUGGCAACUCGACGUUGCUUCGGCGAGACGUUGGAAACAGCCGUUGGCAGCAAGAUUUGAUGCCGCCGACGCGGGCUCGCCGGAGUUCACAUACUCUGAGAUUAUGUAUCGUCAGAUAAAACAAGCAAUAUAUAAAAACUUUCAACAACGGAUCUCUUGGUUUUGGCAUCGAUAAGAACGCAGC
rnacentral:misc_RNA from 1 species